UACGUAGGUCCCGAGCGUUGUCCGGAUUUAUUGGGCGUAAAGCGAGCGCAGGUGGUUUAUUAAGUCUGGUGUAAAAGGCAGUGGCUCAACCAUUGUAUGCAUUGGAAACUGGUAGACUUGAGUGCAGGAGAGGAGAGUGGAAUUCCAUGUGUAGCGGUGAAACGCGUAGAUAUAUGGAGGAACACCGGUGGCGAAAGCGGCUCUCUGGCCUGUAACUGACACUGAGGCUCGAAAGCGUGGGGAGCAAACAGG
rnacentral:rRNA from 1 species